AUCGAGGGUAGGAGUCGAGGAGGGGAGUCGAGGAGGGGAGUUCGAGAAAUGAGAAAGGUUCAGGUGUCCACCCUAUACCAGACACUUCUUAGUCAGGAAUUAGUCAGCACAGAGAAGUAUAGAACUGAGUGGGAGACAGAAUUGGGUUAGCCGAUCACUGAGGAAUGUCGGGAAACAAGUUUUAGGAAUAUUCACCGGUGCUCAGUAAAUGUUAGAUUCAAUCUGAUACAAUUUAAAGUUGUACAUAGGUUGCACUACUCAAAAGUUAAUGUAAACAAGACGUAUUCCAGCGUAUCAGCAUUAUGUAACACAUGUAAAAAUCAACCUGGCACCCUUACACACCAACUCUGGACAUGCCCCAACCUCCACUCUUUCUGGACUUCUGUAUUUGAUUUUUAUUCAAAAGCAUUGGACAAGCAAUUGAAGCCUGAUCUCCUUGUGGCCAUUCUGGGGUCCACGAGUGACACUGAUCUGAACUAUGGCAGUGACACAUGGCCGGUGUUUGUGGGGUACUGUUUGGGCUAAAGAACGUAUUUUGAGGUGAUGGAAGUCUGACGCUGGGCCUACAUUUGAGAUGAGGCUGAGGGAGUUGGGUGAGAUCCUCUACCUGGAGAAACUUAGAUUCCAGACUGCAGGAAGGGGAGAGUGUUUGAUAAGGCCUGGGCUCCGGUGCUGAGACACUUCAGAGGUCUGGGUGAGGGAUGAAUGAUCAAUAAUGUUAACCCUGUAACCAUGUGUUCUUUGUCCUGAUGUGCUCUCUUGGGUUGCUCUCUUGUUUCUAGCAUGAAUAUUGCAUUUCUUAUUAUCUCGUGUUUUAAAAACCACCAACAGCCUGAUUGUACUAGUAUGUUCUGAAUCCGCUGUUUUGUUGUUAUGGGAAAUGUAAAAUAUGAUUGCUUUGUUAUACCAAUGUGGUUCCUCCAGCCAUUUUCUGCAAUAAAAAUAUUCUUUAAAAAAAA